rnacentral:ncRNA from 2 species
CUUGGACCGAAGGGGGGCCUCGACAUGCGGGGCUGAGAGGCCGGAGCAAGUGCCGGCGACCCUUGGAACCUGAUCCGGGUCAUGCCGGCGAAGGGAUCGGACAUUUUCCGCCA